rnacentral:rRNA from 1 species
ACGUGACGCAGCAACGCCGCGUGGGGGAAGAAGGCCUUCGGGUUGUAAACCCCUUUCAGUUGGACGAAGCUUCCGCGGUUAACAGCCGCGUGGAGUGACGGUACCUUCACAAGAAGCCCCGGCUAACUACGUGCCAGCAGCCGCGGUAAUACGUAGGGGGCUAGCGUUGUCCGGAAUCAUUGGGCGUAAAGCGCGUGUAGGCGGCCCGGUAAGUCCGCUGUGAAAGUCGGGGGCUCAACCCUCGAAUGCCGGUGGAUACUGUCGGGCUAGAGUACGGAAGAGGCGAGUGGAAUUCCUGGUGUAGCGGUGAAAUGCGCAGAUAUCAGGAGGAACACCAAUUGCGAAGGCAGCUCGCUGGGACGUCACUGACGCUGAGACGCGAAAGCGUGGGGAGCAAACAGGAUUAGAUACCCUGGUAGUCCACGCUGUAAACGAUGGGCACUAGGUGUGGGGGGUGUCGACUCCCUCCGUGCCGAAGCUAACGCAUUAAGUGCCCCGCCUGGGGAGUACGGCCGCAAGGCUA